rnacentral:rRNA from 1 species
CCUACGGGGGACAGCAGUCGAGAAUCAUUCACAAUGGGGGAAACCCUGAUGGUGCGACGCCGCGUGGGGGAAUGAAGGUCUUCGGAUUGUAAACCCCUGUCAUGUGGGAGCAAAUUAAAAAGAUAGUACCACAAGAGGAAGAGACGGCUAACUCUGUGCCAGCAGCCGCGGUAAUACAGAGGUCUCAAGCGUUGUUCGGAAUCACUGGGCGUAAAGGGUGCGUAGGCUGUUUCGUAAGUCGUGUGUGAAAGGCGCGGGCUCAACCCGCGGACGGCACAUGAUACUGCGAGACUAGAGUAAUGGAGGGGGAACCGGAAUUCUCGGUGUAGCAGUGAAAUGCGUAGAUAUCGAGAGGAACACUCGUGGCGAAGGCGGGUUCCUGGACAUUAACUGACGCUGAGGCACGAAGGCCAGGGGAGCGAAAGGGAUUAGAUACCCCUGUAGUC